GACAGAGGCCUCGAGCGUUAGGCGGAAUCACUGGGCUUAAAGCGUGUGUAGGCGGAUCGUUAAGUACCUUGUGAAAUCCCACGGCUCAACCGUGGAACGGCUGGGUAUACUGGCGGUUUUGGGCCAUUCAGGGGCGACUGGAACAAGCGGUGGAGCGGUGAAAUGCGUAGAUAGUCGACUUGGAACGCCGAAAGGGUGAAAACAGGGUCGCUGGGG
rnacentral:rRNA from 1 species